CCCCACUUCUCCCUAAGCCCCCUCAUCUACUAACCCCUACUCCAGCUUUAGGUCUCAGUGGAGUGUAGCUGUCCCUGGGAUGCAUUCCGAGGAUGCCGAGCUCUUUUCCUUUCACAGCACCGGGGGGUCUCGGGAGCUGCUUCUUUGGGCCCCCACUGGAAGGCUCCCGACCAUAUUCCCAGAGCCUCACCAACGUCUGGAACAUGAUGCGCCCUCAUCAAUAUUGGAAAGCUGUUCAAGGACAGGCAGCCCUUGGGCCCAGCCGGUGCCCAGGCCCAAGAGCCGAGGAGGCAGGAGGAGGCCAGGACCUCACAGGCUGGCAGCAACGUCUGCAGCAGGU
rnacentral:lncRNA from 1 species